rnacentral:snRNA from 1 species
GGAUGUGAGGAGGAUCUGGCUGCGACAUCAGUCACCCCAUUGAUCACCAGGGUUGAUUCAGCUGAUCUGGCUGGCUAGGCGGGUGUCCGCCUCCUGCCUCACCACUCCAUGUGCGUCCCUCCCGAAGCUGCGUGCUCCGUCGAAGAGGACGGCCUUCCCCGAAUAGAGACGGACCGGGUCUUCGGUCGAGGGUAUAGGAGUAGCUGCGCUCCCCUGCUAGAACCUCCAAACAAGCUCUCAAGGUCCAAGACAAAGCAUAGUGUAUAGAAUGGACAAUAUGCUAAAGAUAUGGACGUUAGCUGCUGGGUACUACAGGCUACAGUAAUUUAUUC